GUAUUGGUGGUUCAGUGGCAGAAUUCUCACUUUUCAUGCAGGAAGCCGGGGUUCGAUUCCCAGUCAGUGCA
rnacentral:tRNA from 1 species